CCUCCGGGAGGCAGCAUCUGAGGAAUGGGAAUCAAUGGAGACAAUUCUGAACCAGCCAAGUCGACGUGAAGGAUGACGGCCUUAGGGGUAGGAAACUUCUUUUUUGGGGGAAUAAACGGGGUUACGGGGAAAUGACGGUACCCACCCAGAAAGCCCCGGUUAACUAACUGCCAGCCAGCAGGGUAAUUAAUAGGGGGGGUGCGUUGUCCGUAAUUAUUUGGUGUAAAGAAAGGGUAGGCGGGCGGGUAAGUCAGUCGGGGAAGAAAUCCCGGGGAUCAACCCAUGGCAUGCCAAAGAAAAGGGUUUCAGUGUCGGAGAGGGAAGCGGAAUUACCUCGGGAUCGGGCGAAGAAAUGCAUAGAUAGAGGGACGAACUCCGAUAAGGUGGGCACCUUGCCAUUACAUAACGGACAGUCACGCAAGAAGGGGUGGGGAUCAAACAGGAUUAGAUACCCUGUUAGUCCACGCAACGAAGGGUGAUAGGUGUUUGUGGGCGAGACACCAUCAGUGCCGAGUUAACG
rnacentral:rRNA from 1 species